UUGAGCCAAGGUGGAUAAGUGACUUCCCAGUACAACCAGGGACAGAGUCUUGCUCCGGGGAAGACCAGGUUCCGAGGCUCAGAACAAGGACUCACUCCUGGCAGUUGCUGUCAAAGCUGAAGACACAUUUCUGCAGACUGUCCAGAGUCAUGAGGCUGACGUGCUCAAACAUGUCCAGACGGGAACUGCCUUCUGAAAUCAACCGUUUCCACUUGGCCUGGUAGAAGAUGAGACUGACGUUGGG
rnacentral:lncRNA from 1 species